GCGACGCGACUCAGGCCGCUCCGCGUCGGGGAUCGCCCGCUGCUCCUCCACCGGCGCCCGUUGCGGGCCCUUUCUUGUGGGCGGGGCCUCUGACGGCCAAAGCCUUUCCUCGCGGCCGGCCCCGGUACUUUGGACCCGGGACACCGCGCUCUCGGCCCCGCGGAGGAGACGGAUCGGGAACCCCUGGAAUGGCCCCGCCUCGCUGGGCUCGCGGCGCGCUGCGGGAAGCCGUGCUCCGCGCCGCCCAGAGUUUCUGUUGGGCCCUGGACGAGCUCGCUGGCGGGGUCGGGCCGCAGGGCGGGGUCGGGGCGGCGGGAACUCGGCCCCCGCGGGCCGCCUAAGCGGGUGUGCUCCUUCCUCAGAGCCGAAGAAACGCCCCGGCGUGGAGAGAACGGCUUGCGGCAUGGCGGGAAACGUUAGCGAAGACCCGGCGGGAAGCCGGAUCACUUACGUGAAAGGAGAUCUUUUUGCAUGCCCCCCAACAGACUCUUUAGCCCACUGUAUCAGUGAGGAUUGUCGAAUGGGAGCUGGAAUCGCUGUUCUCUUCAAGAAGAAAUUUGGAGGGGUACAGGAUCUGAUAAGUCAGCAAAAGAAAACCGGAGAAGUGGCUGUUCUGAAAAGAGAUGGGCGAUACAUAUAUUACUUGAUUACAAAGAAAAGGGCUUCACACAAGCCAGCGUAUGAAAACCUACAGAAGAGUUUAGAAGCCAUGAAGUCUCAUUGUCUGCAAAACGGAGUCACAGACCUCUCCAUGCCCAGGAAGGAGACAGACUUGGCAACCCUGGGUAAGAUUUAAGACCUACUUUCCUUUCCUGCAAAGACCAGUUUCUCACUCCAACCUGGGUUCUGCAGCUCCCUGAGAAAUCUGGUGGCAGGGAUCAUGUCCUACACAAGGCAGAACAAAUGGAACCUAGGUGCAGUUUGAAGACCACCUCAUGGGGAUGGUGUGAGGAUUGGAUGUGGUCUUGAUGGUCUUCAGUGGGAAAAUGUAUCUGUGAUGAUUGAGGAGGUAUUUGAGGCAACAGACAUCAGAAUUACUGUGUACGCACUCUGAACAGAUGAGCUUUUGGAUGUGUUCACAUUCUCUUGUGUUAUCGCUUCUGGACUGUAGAACUGGGACAAACUGAUCUUAAAAUAGCCAGAGGAAAAAUUACAUUUCAUAUGAAGUAGUCCAUGUGACAUGCCAGACUUGGGAUAAUAAGUGGACUGGGACUCUGGAGGAGAGAUUCUUGAGAUAUCUUGCUCUGAGUUUUGGGUUAUUCCUGCAAAAAGGUAUGUAUGGAGUAGGUAGCCUUUAUUAGGUAGGGAAACUGUUGGGCCUAUGAUUUAUUUUGCUCCAGGAUAUAUUAUGUGAUUCCUCUGACUUGCCACUAGGUGGCAGAAUUGUUUUUUUUUCUAUUUGAGAAUUUUCUGGAAGGAUGAACAUUUAAGUAAUUUACAUAUUUUGUCAUUUGUUUACUUGGUACUAUUUUGUGUCAUCAAAUUCAUCCUAAGGUGUAAGUUAUAAAAUUAAACUUUUUGACAAAUUUGUAAGGAUGGGGAAAAAAUAAAUUUUUUUCUUGAGAUUCAA